CGGCCGGAGCGGAGCGGAGUGCGCACGCCGGGGUGGCGGGACUUCGGCAAGACCAACUUUCCGAAUCUUCUCGAUUCCCAGCCUGCGUUCUCUCGCCCGACUCUAAUUGUGUAAGUUUCACGAAGCAACAGCUUUGGGCUCCAGGAAAGCGCAGGAAAAUCAGAGAGGAAGGAAGCGCGCAGGUCGGCAUCGCCUCCAAAGACCACCCGCCGCCACAUUUGUCCCCCUCAAAACAGCAACAAAACCCUUAAGACGAAUAUGAAGCAAAUGUAGGUUCCCGCAGCUUCCGAAGCCUUUCAGAGGAAGCCGAGCCCGGCUCCCCCGCAGCCUCCUGGCCCCCACAGCACCGACUCCUCCUCCUCGGUUACUCUGUGAGUGCCGACCCCCACCUUUUUUGUUCUUAAGGCCAUUCCUCCUUCUCCCCCUGCCCCCAGCCUCUCUCCAACACACCAGCACGAUUUUCCUAGGU